GAUGAACGCUAGCGGCAGGCCUAAUACAUGCAAGUCGAACGGAUAUAUGUUUUUCGGAAUAUAUAUUAGUGGCGCACGGGUGAGUAACACGUACAUAACUUGCCCUCAAGCGGGGGAUAGCCUUGGGAAACUGAGAGUAAUACCCCAUAGAAUUAUUGGACGGCAUCGUUUGAUAAUUAAAACUACGGUGCUUGGGGAUAGAUGUGCGUCUGAUUAGCUAGUUGGUGAGGUAACUGCUCACCAAGGCGACGAUCAGUAGGGGGCGUGAGAGCGUGGCCCCCCACACGGGUACUGAGACACGGACCCGACUCCUACGGGAGGCAGCAGUAAGGAAUAUUGGUCAAUGGAGGGAACUCUGAACCAGCCAUGCCGCGUGAAGGAUGACGGCCCUCUGGGUUGUAAACUUCUUUUGGAUGGGGCGAAAAACGGGAUUAUCCUGGACUGACGGUACCAUCAGAAUAAGCACCGGCUAACUCCGUG
rnacentral:rRNA from 1 species